rnacentral:lncRNA from 1 species
AAUGAGCUCUUCAAGAGAUAAUCCAGGGACUCCUUGUAUAGUGCAAAUCCAGUCCACUGGAAUGAAUUGCAGUGAGUGGAGUCCAGGAGUUGACUGAAAACAGGCAGAAGAACUCUAGGCUAUUUAUGAUCUUUAUGGUGUUUUGACAGAUGCUUCCAAGUGACACCCAGGAGAGAGAGAAGGGGACCUAGAGGAGGAAAUAAUAGCAGCACUGAAAUAAACGGUAAAUAAACCUUAAGAGAAGCCA